GUAAACCAGGUUUUUAUGUAACAAAUAUUUUGAAAAGUUCAUGUUUCCAUGCAGCCAAACAAGAUCCCUGCACUUUUGGAAAAGAAACAAGGCCACAGCAUCACAGAUCCUUCGCAGUGCUUAACAGUGGCUGAGGGAUGUUUUCUCACAUAGUGUUCCUUUGUUUUGUGCCCAUCCCACUUGGAGUUUCUGUUCCUAAAAAUCUCAAUCUUAGCUUAAUUUGACCAAAGCACACAAUUACAGUUAAAGUACUUGCAGAGUUUACAAACCCAGUGUGUUCCUGUUCAAGAUCAUAAAAAAGGGCAUGUAAAUAGCAUCUAAUGGUUGCAAUGGAGACUCUGUGAACCUAAGAUGCUACUCUUAGCUGCAGUACUCUAACGGGGAGCUCUAAAGAUUUCAUUUACCUGACGUCCUGCUCACUGUGCCGGGAAAAAGAAUGGCAAGGAUUACUUAUUAGAAGUUACUAGAAACUCUCAUGAACUUAAAAAAGUUUGCCGAUGAGGGUGGCUGGCACUGCUGAGAAGUAGAUCUGGCUUGAACACCAACACCACCUCCAAACUACAUCUGUUAAAGGAAGUGGAGACCAGCCAGCAGUCCAUCAUCUAUUAAGCUUUAUAAAAGCUCCAUUUUACAGGCUCUGUGUCGUAACCAAAGUAGUGGCAAAUUAAUGGUCAUCAGGUGAAUCUGGCUUCUUUCUCUGAAGCUGGUUCCCACAGGUUUGCUGUGGGAAUACCCAAAGCUCUGAUUGUAUCUUAAAAAUUAAAGAUGCAUAUGCAUUGAGGUGGUUAUUGUAGCCUGCACUGAUAACCAGGAAGAAGGGAAAGGAGGAAGCAGCAACUUUGAACAGCAGAACAUCCAUGCACCCCUGGUCUUUCUGUUACCUUUCACAGAAACCUAAGACACUUUAAAAGAUUUGUUGCAAAAUCAUCUUCUAGAGUGUAUUAGAUAUAAAGGGUUACUUUUAGUAUUACAUUGACUAUUUCCCUUAUAUCAAAGUCCUUUAAGUAGCAAAUCCAUUCUUUAAUUGUGAACAUGUUGAGUUUGCUACAUAUGGACGUUAAUUAUAGACAUGUUUUAAUGUAAUCCUGCAUCCCUAAUAGUCUAAUUAAUUGUAUUGCCCACUGAAGGAUUGGUGACAGGAGUGAAUAUUUUCUAUCAACAAAAAAACAGGCCUCGUACUUUGUGGAUAGUUUUAUGCCCAGGUAGGGCAUUGCCAGAUGGCAUUUAGACAUGCGGUUUUCUUUAGGCAGGUUAUUAAACGGAGGAAAUGAAAUUACUGUCUUGGGAAAGGUUUGCAUAAUUACCUUACACAUGCCGUGACAAGUUAUAGAGCAAGGUUUUCUGGGAAAUUAUCUUUACAUUUGUGUUGAACAAUCACAAUUUUUUAUUAAUAUUAGUCAAAGAUUAGAAAAUAAAUUAUUUAUAUUAAUUCAUAGACAACCCACACUUUUAUUACGAAAAACAAUCAUCAAUAAUGUUUUUUUGUCCCGAUCCAACCCACAGGGAAGAGCUCAGCCAAGUGGAGACCCUUUCCCACUCUUUUCUGAUCCUAGACCACCUUCAUUCUGGCUUCAUUUCUGUCGGCAUUUGAAAUAUGUUCUAUUUCCUACUUUACUUGACAGAGUGGCCAGCUGUAGGCCAAACACAUUAAUACAUAAUCAUGAUUAUUCAAAUAUAUCUUGAAAAUUAUCAAAAACGCAUUGAUAUUUUUCCAGUACUGAAAGUUCUGUUGGGAAACAUCAAAACAUAUUUACUUUUCUUUUCAGGAUGGCCAACU